GGCUGUAAUCCAAUACUAUGCUAUUUAUUUUGUUGCUCAAAUUGUCCUGCUUUUGGCCCUGGGGCCUCAUUCCGCUGGCUCCUGGGCCCUGCUGCCCUGUUGACACGGCUCUCGUUGUGGGUGUGUGGCUGUGUGGAGCAUAUUCCUGCUUUCUGGUUCCUCUUGUGUGUCUUCUGUUCCAGUCCCAGCCCAGGACGAGCCGUCCCUCCAGGGAGCCCUGGUUCUUUUCACUGGAGGAUGUUAGGAACCAAAAUGCCCAAAGCAGAGGAACCAGACAACAAUAGACUGGAAGCACUGAAAUCCUGAGCCAAGACUAUCCCUUUCCUCCUUGAAGUUGUUUAUCUCAGGUGUUUGUCACAGUGGCAAAAGGUUCAACUGAUGAACUAGAGUGGUACCGGGUGAACAAAGCGCAAACAUGUUUACGACCAAUAUUCCUGCAGGGGACCUGUUUCAACUGUACAUUGAUGGGAUUGGAUUGCACAAUGGUUAGCCUGGGAAUCAGAUAGGGUUUCAUCAUUGAAUGUGUUUUCCAUCUUGUCCUGUUACCCGGGCAGGAGACCUCAUGGCUGUUUGCCUGGAGGAGGCUUUCCGGCUGGCCCACAGUCCUGAUCUGAUCCACCAGGCAAGAGAUAGUAUUUUGAUAGCUUGCGCUUCCUGGUGCCUCACUGCCUCCUCCAUCUUCAUGCCCCUUGUUGAUCUGAACCACUGCCACGUUUUUCUCCAUGACUCCCACAGCAGAGCAAAUUCCAGGCAGGAGCACGGACACACAUUACCCUCUCCGGUUCUGCCAUGAUCCUGUGGUGCCCUGCACGAGCUCUGCAUGGACAGUGGGGUUGGAGCCACCUGGAUGCUGCUGAGAAAAGCCCAGAAUGCCUGGGCCGCCCUUCACUGUGCCCGGCAGGUCCAUGCUGCUCCUCUGCCUCCCCAGAACUCUACAGUUUGGUUCAGGGAGAGAGUCAACAGCCCACGGCCAUUCACCGUUCCUCAGGAGUCCAAAGUCACCCAGGCCCUCCCCAAGGAGGUGAGGAGCCUGAGACUCGGAGAAGUGGCCCGUUCACUCGCCAGUCCACUAAUGAGGGCUCUGUGGUAUCUGCUCUGCAUCUAACAGGCUGCUCAGAGCCGGGCUUCUCCACCCACUCUGUGCAGGAGCAACUUUCAGAAAUCGUCGCUGUGUGUCCUUGCAGGAGCCUCUUCCUCUUCUGGCUUCCACCUGCCCUUACCUCUCCUCUGCCCUUGACCUGGUAUUCUGACUCCACCAGCGAAGUUCCUGCCCUCACAUGUGCACCCCAGCUCUCCCCUCCUCCCCCAAGACUGAGCUGAGCCACCCGCUCACCCCACACUGUGUCCCCCACCCCGUGCCAGCCCUGGUUCUCACUCUCCCAGUGACAAUUGUUACAUCCAGUUGUUCCUGCCUCUUCUGAGUGUCUGCCCACAGGGAGUGCGGGCUUCGUGUUGCUCCUGCUGGUGCAGAGCCCAGAGCGCAGCACAGCGCCGGGUGUAGGUUGGACAUUGAUCAAUGGCUGUUACUGGAAUGGAUGAUGACUCAGGGAGUCCCAUUCGGAGUCCUAGUUUGCUAACAGGAG
rnacentral:lncRNA from 1 species